UUUAAUUAUUACCAAGGGCGGGAGAGAAAGCUCAUGAAGGGAACACUUCAGGAAAAGUUGUUCUUUUUUACAAAUGGGAGCAUCCAGCAAACAUUCUUUCCAAUACUUUAGAUUAGAUUAAUUAUUAAAACAAUAUUGUGGGCUGGGGUGGGGUAGCGAGAGCAAUUUAAAAAAAUGCUUGAAUCUCUAAAAAGAAAGAGCAAGAAAGUCCACCACCUUAGCCCUGCAUAGGCUGGCUGAGUGGUGACAUAAAAGGACUCUGCACAUGCUCAGAUGCAUCAUCCUCUAUUGAUGCAUGCGAAAAAGGACUCAGCUCCCGCAGUGUUUUCUGUAAAGAGGUUGCAGAUCCUGGACGCGCUUGUUUAAGAGUAAGCCACUGACUUCCAAGAAACCAUGCACAGGACUGGGGGACUGCAAACUUGAUCCACUGAGAAGAGGAAUUAUUUCUGAGUAACCAGGCAUAGAGGGGCUGUUGCCAUUCCUUUUUUCUGUCCCCGAGCUCCCCUCUAGCUAUUAGUCCCCCGUGCAUUAAAGCUCAUGAGGAGCGCGGGGGGGGGCGAGCUGCAUUUGAUCCCCCCCCCGCAGCAGCGCCCCAUCUUCCAUCUCUCCAGCCCAGAGCAGAGAGGGUGCCGCUAGGGCUAGCCUGUUGGCGUUCUCUCACCUCCGCUUACCUUGGAGGAAACCACACAGCACUCCCCGCCAGGAUCUAGCCUCCACUACCACCGCGGCCUCCUCAUGAUGAUGAUAGUGACGAUGCUCGCCUCCUUUCCCAAGCUCCGCCUCCCUGCAAACGGCGCCGCGGCGGGUGAGAGGUCAGAGACGGAGAGGCUCACGAAGAUGGCGGAAGAGAAACUGCGGUGUGCCUCCAAGGCCAGGAGUCAUCGCAGACGUGCAGGAAAUAAACAGUUGAGUGCUUCGAAAAAAGAAGAUGCCGCACAAAGGAAAGCAGCACUUGAAGCUGCUAUUAGAAAGAAGAUUGAGUGUGAGCGGAAAGCCUUGCAGGUUGUCGAAUGCUUGUUGGAAGAUGGUAUUACUGAAGAAUUCCUUGUGGAUUGCGGGAAAAUUAUAACACCGUCUCAUUAUAAGGAUGUUGUGGAGGAACGAUUUAUCCUCAAGCUAUGUGGUUACCCCAUAUGUCGAAACAGGCUACAGAAUGUGCCAAAACAAAAGUACAGAAUUUCUACCAAAACAAACAAAGUGUACGACAUUACUGAAAGAAAGUGUUUUUGCAGCAACUUUUGUUAUAGAGCAUCAAAAUACUUGGAAGGUCAAAUCUCGAAAAGUCCAGUAUGGCUGCGAGAAGAAGAAAGGCCACCAGACAUUGAAUUGCUGAAGGAAGGGGAAAGUGGCCACUCAGGGAAGGAAGUGAAAUUAGCCAACGAUGCAAUUGGCCCUUUAGACAUUGAAAAUCCUGUCCCUGCAGCAAUCCAGGUUGAUUCUUGCACAGAGAGCGAGAGCAGCAGCGAGGGCGAACAAGAAUUUGUCUCCUCUGUCCUGCAAGAGAAUCUUUCCAGCGCUGAGAAGAGUGUGCAGCCAGUGCCCAGAAAGGGCAUAGUCAAAGUGAAGCAUGCACGGAGAGUGCAGCACAAACCUAUCGCUACAGAUGCCACCGUUGAUCAUGCAGCAGAGCAAUUAAGUAGAUGCAAAUUAGGUGCUCGAGGAGGAGGUGUUGCUCCAAGUAGUUCUCAGAUUAAAAGAGCUCACACUUCUCUGCACAAUCUUACUCCUGAAAUUGUACAGACCUCGGAAGGCUUUGGAGAGAACUCCAUCAGCUCACAAGUGGUUUUCCUGGGUGUGAGCCAAAAGGGGGCAGAACAGUUUAAAAGGUUGCUUGCUAAAUCAAAACAGAUUGUCGGCCCUGACUUAGAAGGUCCAGCUGACCCCCUUGUUGCCAAAAGUAGCUUGCUUGAAGGGCUCAGGCAGACUUUUACCGAAUGGAGGACUGAGGAGACACUGAAGCUGCUCUAUAGCACUAAUGUUGCAGCCACCCACAUACCAUGGACUGCUCCGCCAGCUGCUUGUGAGGAGGAGGAGGACCUUGAUGAGGAUGACUUUGAGAGUGCCGACGAUCCUAAUGACGCUGCUUUGGAAAGAAGCUCUUCGAACUGUUUGAACCAGCCUUUCCCUUUCAGGGGCUUGAGGCCAGCAGCUAAACCUAUCCACAGUUAUGAAAAAUUAAAAGAAGAGACGUCACAGUUGGAAUUAAAGGUGAAGGAAUAUUUCAAAGGAAGCUUCACCUUAGGUGAAGAAGAUUUGGCAACGCAGUCAACAGGAGAGCAGUGCCAGAGCAAUGAUAAAGGUGAUCAGCAGUGGACCCCUGUCUUUCCGCUUGUAGAUUCUAACGCUCAACAGCAGAUUCGGAGGCGGAUUGUACUUGAAAAGCUGCAAAAUGCUUUGCUGGCUGUUUUGGGCCCUCUUCAGAUUCCUCUUGGUAAGGUUUAUAGUGAACUUAAACAUCUUGUUAAAACCUUCAGGUCCGUUCCAUUAUCCAACAUAUGUUUGCGAUAUGAUCUCUGGUGCCCCUUCCCUUUCUCAAUACAGCUUGGACGUCUGGCAUUUCUCGCUCCAUAUAUGGUUAACAAAUACAAAUAUUAUUCACAAAACUCCAGUAUGGACUCUGAUUGCCAUUGUGCUUUUGUCCGUGUUGUCACAAAAUAUUCCUGUCUUUGCAAGUUCCCAGCAGAGUCAAGGAUAUUCACAAUUCCUGGCUACUUUGCUUGAAGAAUUACAUUUCAAACAUGAAGACUUUGAAAGUUUAACAAGAAUAUUUGGAAACGAUUGUCUUCCAUACUGAUUAAGUUUAUCAUCAUGUGCUUCUUUCCGUAUGCCGAAAUCUGAUCAGGAUGUGAAAUGACACUCAAACAAAUACAGUUCAGUACACCAGAUGGAGAAAAAUAAAAUAAAAUCUCAUCAGUCGAGUUCUUAUGAUCAAGUGAUGUGAAGAACAUUUUCUGAGAAGGCUGUUUAAUAUUCCACUAUUGAAUUUUCCUUAACUGUUGAAUGUAUCAAGACAAACUGAAGCUCUUUUACAAUGAAAAUUGAUAUUAGAUAUUUAUCUCAUGUCUUCAAGUAAGUGGGCGAAACGGACACCAAGACAGAUAAUCUUUCCAGCUCCUUCACUGUUUUCAUCAAGUUGCCCUGAUGGAAGGGAGGCUCUCCAGAUGCUGUGGGGCUCCCAACUCCCAUUAGUCCCAGCCAGUGUCCAGGAACUAUGGGAGUUGUAGUCCAGCAACAUUUGGAGGGUACCAUGUUAUCACUGCACUAAUGGAAUGCCAAAGUUUUUUGUGUACCAUUAGCUUCCCAUAAGGAAAUUGUGUCAUUCACCAUUUCUGAAAAUGUUUUUUUUAAAAAAAUUAGGUGCAAUUCUUUGAUUUUUCCAGGAAAAGUGCCUUUUCAGUUUUCUUAAAAUAAAGUAUCAGAGACAUAAUUUGAACUGUCAUUUCAGUAGUCACAAAAUAUUAACAACACCAUGUAGUUUGUACGAUAUGGAACUUUUAAAUAAAUUGAUUAGUGGGGCAUUUUGUAGCCCAGCAGCCUAUAAGACUUUGUUUUGCUUUGUAAUAGUAUUCUCCUGUACAGUUUUUCAUCCUUAGUAGUUAAGACUGUAGUACAACAGAAACCAGAGAGUUUCCGUGAUUAUAUUCUACAUAGUUUAUUACAAGAUUUACAGUGAGGGUCAGCUGCUUGGCAGUUAAGUUUGCUAGCAAAGCCAAAGUCCUGGUCUUUCUGUGUGUGUUCAGAGGGUCUCCCCUGCAGCGUGUCUGAAACUUGGGUGUUCUGGGCAAGAUCUGUAGAAGUGCAGAAUAAUGCUGUUGUUUUUGUCAACUCCAAGCCCUUCAUUUUCACUGGGUUUUAUUUUUACAUUUCCUGUCAGCUUAGCAGCAUGAUUUUUACAGGUUUAUUUUAAGUUCACUUCAGGGCUUAGUCUCUUACAAGCAUUUGAACUUGUAUUAUAUCUUUUUGAAAAGUGAAAAUUUUGUAACCUUUUAAGAGGAUGUAUUUGUAAUUGAAUUAUAAAUCCCUUUAAACACACACACACACCUCAUUUUCCUUUGCUGAUUGCUAGAAAACUAACUUGAUUACCCCUUUCCAUCUGCUACAGCAGUGAUUCUCAAACGGUGCGCCCAGGCACACUGGUGCGCCCUAAGAGGUGGCUAGGUGUGCCUCAAAUAUUAUGAAAGUAUAUUUUAAAAAUGAGAAGAAACCCAUUUGUAUAGGGUAAGUAAUAGUUUUCUAUAGUUUAUUUUUAUUCAUAGUUUAAAAUAUAUUAAUAUAUUUUUAAUUUUGUACACGAAGUGCACCAGAAAAUCUUUAUAUGUUUUAGUGAGCCACGAACCAAAAAAGUUUGAGAACCACUGUGCUACAGGUUUGGGAGAGUUGGUGGGGCGUGGGGGGCUUUGUUUUCCCACACUUUGUUCAUAAAAGCUUAAGAGAUGAGUUGUUUGAGGUGCCAUUUAGCUUUACAAUCCUGUUGUUCAGAAUGCAAACAGAGCAGGUGGGAGAUGCACAUUUUCCUGUGGAAGACAAAGCCCCAUUUACUGUAAAGAUGGGACUUUCUAGGAUAAGUUACCUUAUUUCUGUGUGGGAAGUGCUACCACUGGGAGGAUUGUCAUGCUUAAAAUACAGUUUUGGGGGUAUAUGAACGCUAUAUAUUUUAUAUCUGUUUUUAACCAGUUUCUCCUGGCUCUCCCCAUCCCUGCCUCUAAGCCUCCCAGGAAUCCUGUCAAUUGUAGUUUGAUGAAGGAAGUGUGGAAAAUUUCCUGUUAGAGAUCCCAAGGUCUUCUACAGCAGGGGUCGCCAACCCUUGCCCAUGAGCACCAUGGUGCCUGCAACAGCCUUCAGUGGCACACCUGGCAGGUAGCCCAAAAUCGGAGCUUUCAUUUUUUUUAAAAAAAGUCUCCAGACCUCCUAUAAAUAAAGUUAUGGAGCAACAUGUGCAGGUACCCUUCUAAGCGAUUUCUGUGAAAUGAGCCAGCCUGGCUGCCCUUGCCUGUCAGUCUUAUUAGCCAAUAAUAAGCCAAUCACGGCUGUGAUUGAUGUCCAAACAAUAGGAAUCUCUGGGGUCCUCAAGGGCUGCUGUUUUCCGCCCUUUUAGUGCACUUUUCCUGCGUCUGUCUUUCCCCCCCUAGUCCUUAGAAUCUCCAUCAUUUGCCCUUCCUUUUUCCCUAGUAACCAGGAUGCAUGUUUUUUGUGCUGGGUUUGCCUGAGUUCAGGUAGUGCCUUGAAAUUAUAUUCUGCUGAUACUACACAGUAAGUGUAGGGGAAUGUUAAAGAAUCCCCUGUCCUCACAAAAGGCAAAUGUGAAAAGUUUGCAGAGACUUGGGCAUGUCGCCAGUUUUGCAGGAGCUAAAGAGCAGGGACUCAUUAAGAACACUGUAUAAUUAACUUAUAGUAUAAUGGUAUGCAUAUUUACUCGGAAGUAAGUCUCUGUGUGUUUAAGGGGACUUACUUCCAGGUAAGUGGGUACAGGAUGGCAGCCUAAGCUUUGGUUUAAGGUUAGCACUGGGAAAACUAGGGUUCUUGUGCCUUUAACAGCUGUAUGGCAGGCAGAAAUUCAACAGGUCAAGCCUUUUCAAAUAUAGAAAUACAAUUGUGUGAAAAGCUUCAGUAUGACUACUCUCUAAUUUUGUGUUAUGCCCCCUCAGGGCAGCCAUUUGUGUUAUGCCAUGCCCCCAUGACAGCCAUUUUGUGACUGGUUCCCCCAGACUCUCAAAAUUUGAAAUGUGCCCUCUGGUUCAGAAAGAUUGGGGACCCCUGGUCUUCACACUGGCUUAAACUGGUUUAAUAGUAAUUUGGAUUGGUCUUUCACCGUCCAAUCCACUUCCUGUGUAGCUUGGAAGAAUUUGAUAACGUGCCUCUGAGCAUAUGGUGAGUGCUGGCAACACCUGCAGUCAGGACUACCUCUCCAAACAUAGAGAAUUACAUUUUUUGUAUGUUUGUUGGUGUUCUUCUUACUUUGCUUCUUUCCUGUAUUACUACCGUUUCUACAAAGAAUCUAACCUUGAAAAUCACGUUUCUCUCAUUAUUCAUACUAGAAAUCUGUGUCAAAUUUAUUUUUAUUAAUUUUAAAGCCUUUUUAUUGGUCAUUGUCAUAUGAUGGUGAAGA